CCUACGGGGUGCACCAGUGGGGAAUAUUGCACAAUGGGCGCAAGCCUGAUGCAGCCAUGCCGCGUGUAUGAAGAAGGCCUUAGGGUUGUAAAGUACUUUCAGUUGGGAGGAAGGCGUUGAUGCUAAUAUCAUCAACGAUUGACGUUACCAACAGAAGAAGCACCGGCUAACUCCGUGCCAGCAGCCGCGGUAAUACGGAGGGUGCAAGCGUUAAUCGGAAUUACUGGGCGUAAAGCGCACGCAGGCGGUUGAUUAAGUUAGAUGUGAAAUCCCCGGGCUUAACCUGGGAAUGGCAUCUAAGACUGGUCAGCUAGAGUCUUGUAGAGGGGGGUAGAAUUCCAUGUGUAGCGGUGAAAUGCGUAGAGAUGUGGAGGAAUACCGGUGGCGAAGGCGGCCCCUGGACAAAGACUGACGCUCAGGUGCGAAAGCGUGGGGAGCAAACAGGAUUAGAUACCCGUGUAGUC
rnacentral:rRNA from 1 species